CUGGCCCUGACGUUAGUGGAGAGUGCCUGAGACCUGGGGUUUGCCGGGGAGAGAGAAGCACCACUUCCUGGAAGAAGAUGGGAGUUUGAGUAAUCCGACCAAGGCCGCUCCACCGAGGGCAGCUGCUACCAAGACCUGAGGCUCUUGGUCAAAACCAAGGUGGCCUCCCUAGCGCGGGAAGACGCAUCUCGCCCCUUUUUGAUCCCGUCCUGGGACAUGAGUUGAGUUGCCUGCAGGAAGCAGCUCUGAGCAAACACCGAGGACAUGCUUCUCACCUCGGGAGACAAGCCAACAGUUUUGCAGUCUGAAACUGGAGGAUGGAUUUGGAUCCGAAAUGCCCAGAGAUGAUGAAGUGAAGCAGUGUUGUUGUCUUCUAUCACCUAAGUACCAGGAAACACUCCAGGAUACCAUGAACAGGAGGCCACCGUGGGGAGCAGCUGGGCCUCUCUGAUCAGGGCUCAUUUUGUUCCCGGUAUCAUCCCUAGAAAACCUAGUACACCCAACAGAUGCUUGUAUGCCACCCAUCAGGGCUGGCUUCCCAUUCCCAGGGAAACCAGAACACAGAAUAGGAAGUUAGUACCCUGGGGCCAGAGGGAGAACUGUAACUGAGACAAAAAUGUUUUUGGAGGAGGGAGGCUGGGGCUAGGCCGG